rnacentral:rRNA from 1 species
CUACGGAGGGUGCAAGCGUUGUCCGGAUUUAUUGGGUUUAAAGGGUGCGUAGGUGGCGUGUUAAGUCAGAGGUGAAAGCCUGCAGCUCAACUGUAGAGGUGCCAUUGAUACUGACAUGCUUGAGUAUGGACGAGGUAGGCGGAAUUUGUGGUGUAGCGGUGAAAUGCAUAGAUACCACAAAGAACACCGAUAGCGAAGGCAGCUUACUGGACCAUAACUGACACUGAGGCACGAAAGUGUGGGUAGCGAACAGGAUUAGAAACCCCAGUAGUCC